AGUUACCAGAUUCCGGUUUCAAACCCAUGAAGCAAAGUGGCGUCGUUUCUACUCCCUGUUCUCCGCCUUCGCCGGCCGACUAUCUGAAGAGAAAUCCCUUCGCUGCCUUAUACAGAAGAUCUACGCCACUUCGUCGGGGGCCCUUACGCGAUGCGGUUUGAGCAUUGGGUAUCCGAAUGUGUUCGAAGAAUUUUAAAUACGAGUUAUUCAGAACCUUCCGUAUCGGGAUCUCAGAGCAUCAUUAUAAGCGUUGGGUAUCUGUAAGGUAUUCGACGAAUUUUCUGCACGAGCUAUUUAAUUAAGAACUUUCCGUGGAUGAGAGUGUUCUGAAUCGGGAUCUCAAAGUUGUUGGAUUGAAGUACCUCAAUGUGCCAAUUGAAGCUAUGAAGUCCCCCAACGAGAUGGCUUUCUG